GCCUUCGUGAUGUAAUGGUCAGCACACUGAGCCGGUAUUUCAGAGGUCCGCGGUUCGAUCCCCGGCGAAGGCA
rfam:Stegodyphus mimosarum contig94611, whole genome shotgun sequence.